rnacentral:rRNA from 1 species
CCUACGGGGUGCAGCAGUGAGGAAUAUUGGUCAAUGGACGAGAGUCUGAACCAGCCAAGUAGCGUGAAGGAUGACUGCCCUAUGGGUUGUAAACUUCUUUUAUAUGGGAAUAAAAUGUUCCACGUGUGGGAUUUUGUAUGUACCAUAUGAAUAAGGAUCGGCUAACUCCGUGCCAACAGCCGCGGUAAUACGGAGGAUCCGAGCGUUAUCCGGAUUUAUUGGGUUUAAAGGGAGCGUAGGUGGAUUGUUAAGUCAGUUGUGAAAGUUUGCGGCUCAACCGUAAAAUUGCAGUUGAAACUGGCAGUCUAGAGUACAGUAGAGGUGGGCGGAAUUCGUGGUGUAGCGGUGAAAUGCUUAGAUAUCACGAAGAACUCCGAUUGCGAAGGCAGCUCACUGGACUGCAACUGACACUGAGGCUCGAAAGUGUGGGUAUCAAACAGGAUUAGAUACCCCGGUAGUC